UCACGGAGAGUUUGAUCCUGGCUCAGGACGAACGCUGGCGGCGCGCUUAACACAUGCAAGUCGAGCGAGAACCGGCCCUUCGGGGCCGGGGAAAGCGGCGAACGGGUGAGUAACACGUAGGUAAUCCACCCACGGUUCUGGGAUAGCCCGGGGAAACCCGGAUUAAUACCGGAUGGCCUCUUGAGCCCUCGGGCUCUCGAGAAAAGGGAGCUUCGGCCUCUGACCGUGGACGAGCCUGCGGCGGAUUAGCUUGUUGGCGGGGUAACGGCCCACCAAGGCGACGAUCCGUAGCUGGUCUGAGAGGACGAUCAGCCACACUGGGACUGAGACACGGCCCAGACUCCUACGGGAGGCAGCAGUGGGG
rnacentral:rRNA from 1 species